GAUGAACGCUGGCGGCAUGCCUAACACAUGCAGGUCGAACGGAAUCUUAUAUGUUCCUCGUUUCGGAUUUAGUUCCGAGCUGGGGAACAAUAAGAUUUAGUGGCGGACGGGUGAGUAACACGUUGGUACCUACCCCUUAGUGGGGAAUAACUUCGAGAAAUCGAGGCUAAUACCGCAUAAUAUCUACGGAUUAAAGCAUUUAUGCGCUAAGGGAGGGGCCUGCGUCUGAUUAGCUAGUUGGUGAGGUAAAAGCUCACCAAGGCGACGAUCAGUAGCUGGAUCGAGAGGGUGACCAGCCACACUGGGACUGAGAUACGGCCCAGACUCCUACGGGAGGCAGCAGUGAGGAAUAUUGCACAAUGGGGGAAACCCUGAUGCAGCGACGCCGCGUGAGCGAAGAAGUAUUUCGGUAUGUAAAGCUCUAUCAGCAGGGAAGAAGAAAUGACGGUACCUGACUAAGAAGCACCGGCUAAAUACGUGCCAGCAGCCGCCGCAG
rnacentral:rRNA from 1 species